UGUGGAAUCUUGCACAAUGUGCGCAAGCCUGAUGCAGCGACGCCGCGUGUGGGAUGACGGCCUUCGGGUUGUAAACUCCUUUCGCUAGGGACUACUCUUUUUGUUACGGUACCUAUUUAAGAAGCCCCGUCUAUCUACGUGCCAACAGCCGCGGUAAUACGUAGGGUGCGAGCGUUUUCCGGAAUUACUGGGCGUAAAGGGCUCGUAGGUGGUUUGUCGCGUCGUCUGUGAAAUUCCGGGGCUUAACUCCGGGCGUGCAGGCGAUACGGGCAUAAAUUGAGUACUGUAGGGGUAACUGGAAUUCCUGGUGUAGCGGUGAAAUGCGCAGAUAUCAGGAGGAACACCGAUGGCGAAGGCAGGUUACUGGGCAGUUACUGACGCUGAGGAGCGAAAGCAUGGGUAGCGAACAGG
rnacentral:rRNA from 1 species